GUUGGGCAUAAUACUGACUAACAUGCACUGGCACCAUUUUAGGCUUUACUAACUAAUAAUCACUAACUGUCAUAAAAGGCUUAUACACUAAAAGGCACACUUAAGUGCUAUAAUAACCUAAAUAGUAUACAUAGGCACGCACAAACAUAAUACACUGGGUAUAUAUUAUUAACUCCUUUACAUAACUAAAUGACUGCUGUGACCGCAACCUGUCGUCCACUACUAAAGGACUACAGCAGACGUGUCGCGGAUGUUGUUUUUCAAAAAUCACACUGGCAAGAAAGAAAGACAGCAACUCUAAACCCGAGUUCUCGUGGAGUAAAGGGUUGGAUGGGGCAGUGCAUUUCCUCAAAAUCAAGACGGUCCCUGACAGUUGGAUCAUGGACAUGAGCGAGAUCUUAGAAUCGUCCAGCAGCGACAAGCAGGACACGGAAGGAAAGGAGAGUGUCUAGAAGAAGGUGCUAAGGGUGGUCACGCCAUCGUGGUGUCCUACCUCCUCGAUGGACUCAUAGUGGCCUUCCCUGCACAGACAGCCACAGACACGCUGGAUGACAUCAUGGCAGAUUCUUCAAAGUAGCCACCCUUUGCCUUGAUGACAGCUUUGCAC